rnacentral:misc_RNA from 1 species
GAUGAAGAACGUAGCGAAAUGCGAUAAGUAAUGUGAAUUGCAGAAUUCAGUGAAUCAUCGAAUCUUUGAACGCACAUUGCGCCCGGUAGUAUUCUGCCGGGCAUGCCUGUUCGAGCGUCAUUAUCACCCCUCAAGCCCCCCUGGCUUGGUGUUGGACGGUUUUGGUGGGACGUGCAGCCUCUCACCCCUCCUAAAGACAAUGACGGCGGCGUCGUUGGAACCCCCCGGUACACUGAGCUUCUUAACUGAGCACGUACUGGAUGCGGGUACGCGAUGCACGGUCUGCCUCCCCUUUAGGGAGAACUUUUUCUUAAGGUUGACCUCGGAUCAGGUAGGAAUACCCGCUGAACUUAAGCAUAUCAAUAAGCGGAGGA